AUCUUCGGCAAUGGACGAAAGUCUGACCGAGCAACGCCGCGUGAGUGAAGAAGGUUUUCGGAUCGUAAAACUCUGUUGUUAAGGAAGAACAAGUACGAGAGUAACUGCUCGUACCUUGACGGUACUUAACCAGAAAGCCACGGCUAACUACGUGCCAGCAGCCGCGGUAAUACGUAGGUGGCAAGCGUUGUCCGGAAUUAUUGGGCGUAAAGCGCGCGCAGGCGGUCUUUUAAGUCUGAUGUGAAAGCCCCCGGCUCAACCGGGGAGGGUCAUUGGAAACUGGGAGACUUGAGUGCAGAAGAGAAGAGCGGAAUUCCACGUGUAGCGGUGAAAUGCGUAGAGAUGUGGAGGAACACCAGUGGCGAAGGCGGCUCUUUGGUCUGUAACUGACGCUGAGGCGCGGAAGCGUGGGGAGCAAAC
rnacentral:rRNA from 1 species